AAAAAAACACACUGAAUAAUAAGAUGUAGUCAUAACCUAAUACAAUUAUCUGACAAAAGACUAAAGAAAUGCUGCCAUGUCUAUUACAUGCAGUAUCCUGAACACAUAAUGCAACAUGUGAAGGUCUUUAAGGGUUAGAGGUGGAAGGUGGUGAGGAGAAGAAGGGAAAGGGGAGGUUUGGCAUUGUUGGCAUGUUUGGCAGUGAAGCUGCAAAAGGAGGUAGAUUGAGUGUUGGCAUAAUGGUAGGAAGAGAUGGAAGAUUUGGCAUGGUAGGGAUUGUGGGCAAAGGAGGAACAUUUCCCUGAGGCAUAGGGUUUGAAGGCAAAGGUGGAAGUGUUGUUGGAUUAGGGAGAGUGGUUUGCAAAAGAUGGCGAGAUGCUAGGCUCAAACUCAUGCUUGAGAAGGUCACAAUCACAAGAAGAAAGAGAGGUAUGAUGAAGGAUUUGCCUGAGGUCAUGGUUGAUGAGUUGAAAGAGUUUGGGAG
rnacentral:lncRNA from 1 species